UACGGAAGGUCCGGGCGUUAUCCGGAUUUAUUGGGUUUAAAGGGAGCGUAGGCCGGAGAUUAAGCGUGUUGUGAAAUGUAGACGCUCAACGUCUGCACUGCAGCGCGAACUGGUUUCCUUGAGUACGCACAAAGUGGGCGGAAUUCGUGGUGUAGCGGUGAAAUGCUUAGAUAUCACGAAGAACUCCGAUUGCGAAGGCAGCUCACUGGAGCGCAACUGACGCUGAAGCUCGAAAGUGCGGGUAUCGAACAGGAUUAGAAACCCCGGGGCUGACUGACU
rnacentral:rRNA from 1 species